rnacentral:rRNA from 1 species
GCCGCGGUAAUACAUAGGGUGCGAGCGUUGUUCGGAAUUACUGGGCGUAAAGGGCGCGCAGGCGGAAUAGUAAGUCGGAGGUGAAAGCCCGGGGCUCAACCCCGGAGGGUCUUUCGAAACUACUAAUCUAGAGAGGGUCAGGGGCCGGCAGAAUUCCUGGUGUAGAGGUGAAAUUCGUAGAUAUCAGGAGGAAUACCGGUGGCGAAGGCGGCCGGCUGGGGCCACUCUGACGCUGAGGCGCGAAAGCGUGGGGAGCAAACAGGAUUAGAUACCCUGGUAGUCCACGCCGUAAACGAUGAGCACUGGACGUCCGGAGGGUUCGACCCUUCUGGGUGUCUCAGCUAACGCAUUAAGUGCUCCGCCUGGGGAGUACGGUCGCAAGACUAAAACUCAAAGGAAUUGGCGGGGGAGCACGGUCAUACUUGUUUUCCUGA